UGGGCUGGGGCUCAGUGGUAGAUCGCAUGCCUAGCAUGUGUGAGGCCCUGGGUUCCAUCCUCAGCGCCACAU
rnacentral:tRNA from 1 species